AAGUCGUAACAAGGUUUCCGUAGGUGAACCUGCGGAAGGAUCAUUAUUGAGUUUUGAAGUGGGCUUGAUGCUGGCGCCUUAACUGGAUGCAUGUGCUCAGCCCCGCUCUCAAAUCCAUUCAACACCUGUGCACUUUCAAAGUUGUAGUCCUCCUUCAUUGGAGCCGUGGGUUGUAAUGGACCUGCUGGGACUUGCACUUUGCCAAUUUAUCACAAACUGUUUGCAAUGUUUUGUAGAAUGUGUUAGCCUUUGAUUAGGUGAAACUUUAUACAACUUUCAACAACGGAUCUCUUGGCUCUC
rnacentral:misc_RNA from 1 species